GAUGAACGCCAGCGGCAGGCCUAAUACAUGCAAGUCGAACGGUGUCUUCGGACAUAGUGGCGCACGGGUGCGUAACACGUAUGCGACCUACCUUACAUUGGGGGAUAGCCUUUCGAAAGGGAGAUUAAUACCGCAUAAGACAGUAGCUGGGCAUCCAGCAGCUGUUAAAGAUUUAUCGAUGUAAGCUGGGCAUGCGUCCAAUUAGCUAGUUGGUGAGGUAACGGCUCACCAAGGCAAUGAUUGGUAGGGGAACUGAGAGGUCAAUCCCCCACACUGGCACUGAGAUACGGGCCAGACUCCUACGGGAGGCAGCAGUAGGGAAUAUUGGGCAAUGGACGCAAGUCUGACCCAGCCAUGCCGCGUGCAGGAUGAAGGCGUUAUGCGUUGUAAACUGCUUUUAUACAGGAAGAAACGACUCUUGCGAGAGGCAUUGACGGUACUGUAUGAAUAAGCACCGGCUAACUCCGUGCCAGCCGCCGCAGUAACAC
rnacentral:rRNA from 1 species